GCUCCCUUCGCCGCGCCUCGCGUGCUAGCGGUGCCCUUGUGAGCCACUGCGUUCUCCAAGGCCAGAACGGGACAGGCUAAAUAAUAUUUCAUUGUAUGUUGCCAUGGACUGAACAUUUAUGUCCACCGAACAUUCCUGUCUUGACGCUCUCCUCCCAAUGUGAUGGUUUGGAGUUGACGAUGGUCGUACUUCUCCAUGUUCUGAGACCAGUUUAAACAAAAACAAAAACCAGACAACAACCUUGCAAGGGAAAGAAUUCAGAGUAAAUAAACAGUCUUUUUCUGGGAAGUAAAAUAUUUCCCUAAGAUGGAGAAAUUGAGAUGAGAGCUCAUCCACAAGAUUACCCAUCAAUGAGCACCAAUAGCAACCAAAUCCACUAGAAGACUGGGAGCUUUUAAGUCAAGAAACUUACAUCAGUAUCAUCAUUCCAAGAAGCGGUAUCCAAGCUGUUUUAUCGAAAGUGCGCAUGGGAGAUGGUGCUGUGAGUGGGGAGUGAGUCAAAAACUCCGCUGGGGUGUACAAAAGUCUACUCAAAUGUCCACAGCAUCUGUGGGGGAUGGAGAAUAGUUGGAGGAUCUUUCUCCAGAAUCCUUCUGUUCUGUAGUACAAGUAUUACUCAUUAUAGACUAGCACGAAAAAUCAAGUGAAAUGCGAACUUAAGAGUUUAAAAAGAAUAAAUGGUGCUUUUCUGGCCUAUUAGUAAUAAAUUAAAUAAAAAUAAUUUUAAUUUGUAAGUAAUGAAUGCUAAUCUACAUUGUAUUAAUUGGGCUUAACCAGAGAGUUUUUGUUUACAUACAUUAGGCAAACAAACAAUAG
rnacentral:lncRNA from 1 species